rnacentral:rRNA from 1 species
UGUAAAAUUGCCUUUGAAACUGGUGGUCUUGAGUACAGUUGAGGUGGGCGGAAUGUGUCAUGUAGCGGUGAAAUGCUUAGAUAUGAUACAGAACACCGAUUGCGGAGGCAGCUCACUAAACUGUAACUGACGCUGAGGCACGAAAGCGUGGGGAGCGAACAGGAUUAGAUACCCUGGUAGUCCACGCCCUAAACGUUGAAUACUCGUUGUUGGCGAUAUACAGUCAGCGACUAAGCGAAAGCAUUAAGUAUUCCACCUGGGGAGUACGACCGCAAGGUUGAAACUCAAAGGAAUUGACGGGGGCCCGCACAAGCGGAGGAGUAUGUGGUUUAAUUCGAUGAUACGCGAGGAACCUUACCUGGGCUUGAAAGUUAGUGACCGCUGCCGAAAGGUGGCUUCCCUUCGGGGCACGAAACUAGGUGCUGCACGGCUGUCGUCAGCUCGUGCCGUGAGGUGUUGGGUUAAGUCCCGCAACGAGCGCAACCCCUAUCUUUAGUUACCAUCAGGUUAAGCUGGGCACACUAGAGAGACUGCCUUCGUAAGAAGUGAGGAAGGUGGGGACGACGUCAAGUCAUCAUGGCCCUUACGUCCAGGGCUACACACGUACUACAAUGGCGGGUACAAUGAGUUGCCACUUGGCAACAAGGAGCCAAUCUCAAAAAACCCGCAUCAGUUCGGAUUGG